rnacentral:rRNA from 1 species
UGAGCGGAGAUAUAUGGAGCUUGCUUUAUAUAACUUAGCAGCGAACGGGUGAGUAACACGUAGAUAAUCUAUCCUAUACUGGGGGAUAGCCCGAUGAAAGUUGGAUUAGUACCGCAUAUAGCUAUAUAGUUGCAUGAUUAUGUAGUGAAAGAUUUAUUGGUAUAGGAGGAGUCUGCGGCACAUUAGCUAGUAGGUGAGGUAAAGGCUUACCUAGGCGACGAUGUGUAGCCGGUCUGAGAGGAUGAACGGCCACAAUGGAACUGAGACACGGUCCAUACUCCUACGGGAGGCAGCAGUGGGGAAUAUUGCACAAUGGGGGAAACCCUGAUGCAGCUACGCCGCGUGAGUGAAGAAGGUUUUCGGAUUGUAAAGCUCUGUUAGCAGGGAAGAGGAAGGACGGUACCUGCAGAGGAAGCCACGGCUAACUACGUGCCAGCAGCCGCGGUAAUACGUAGGUGGCAAGCGUUGUUCGGAGUAACUGGGCGUAAAGGAUGCGUAGGCGGUUAAACAAGUUAUAUGUUAAAUAUAUAGGCUUAACCUGUAGAAAGCAUAUAAAACUGUUUAACUAGAGUGCAGGAGAGGUAAGUGGAAUUCCUAGUGUAGCGGUGAAAUGCGUAGAGAUUAGGAAGAACACCAGUGGCGAAGGCGACUUACUGGACUGUAACUGACGCUGAGGCAUGAGAGCAUGGGGAGCAAACAGGAUUAGAUACCCUGGUAGUCCAUGCUGUAAACGAUGGGUACUAGGUGUGGGUUGUGAAUAACAAUUCGUGCCGUCGCAAACGCAAUAAG